AUGACCGACGCCGCCGCCUCGUCUUCCCGCCGGAGGAUGGAGGCCGUCCGCCGCCAUCUCCUCCCUCGGCCGCCGCCCGUCCUUAGCCUGAAUCAGCUAAGCGCCCCGGAGGCAGGACAGAGCCCGGUGAUCAUCGGCGGAAUGGUGCUGGACAUCCACGCGAAGCCAUCCGUGCCGCCACAUCCUGGCACCACCGUUCCUGGGAUGGUUAAGUACAUCGGUGGGGGAGUAUCUAGAAAUAUUGCUGAGUGCAUGGCUAAGCUUGGGACUCAACCACUCAUGAUUAGUGCCAUUGGAGAUGAUAUGGCAGGGAAUUUUCUAUUGAAGUACUGGAAGUUAGCUGGACUAUGUACAGAUGGAAUACUGCAGGUUCCUGAUAUUACAACCCCAGUAGUAUCAAAUGUAUUUGAUGGGAAUGGAGAAUUAUUUGCUGGUGUCGCGAGUGUGCAAGCAGUUGAAACUUUUCUUACCCCUAGCUGGAUAUAUCAGUUCUACCGCCGCAUCUCCACUGCACCUCUACUAAUGCUUGAUGCCAAUUUAUCUCCUGAGUCACUUCAAGCCGCUUGCAAAGUAGCAUAUGAAUCAGGGGUGCCUGUGUUAUUUGAGCCUGUCUCGGUGGUAAAAAGUUCAAGAAUCGCACCAAUUGCGGAACAUAUAACUUGCACUUCCCCGAAUGAGAUUGAGCUUAUUGCCAUGGCAAACGCACUGUCUACUCCAGGGAAAUACAACUUUGUCAAACUUGAGCAGUGCAACAACAAAGCAGAAUCUGUAGAUUAUUUGUUCGAAAUGCUCAGCCCAGCAAUGAUUUUUCUUCUCGAAAAGGGCAUCAAGCUUCUCCUGGUGACACUUGGCUCGAAUGGUGUUUUCAUAUGUUGCAGAGAGCACGUCAACUUCAUGAAGGAUCAGAAAAGGUGUAAAGUGACGCCUUUCUCAACUCAGCUACUUGAAAAAUUGGAGGGAUGUUCUCUAUCCAGCAUGCCUGUUAAUUUGUCUAGAGAAGGUUCUUCCAGAACUUGUGUUUUCCAUUUACCUGCAACAUCUGCCUCUGUGGUCAGCCUCACAGGCGCGGGUGAUUGUUUGGUUGGUGGGUUCCUUUCAUCUCUAUGUGGGGGAUUGGAUAUUAUGCAAAGUGUUGCAGUUGGGAUUGCUGUAGCAAAGGCGUCCGUUGAAUCUGAAGCUAACAUACCUGCCAAUUUUUCUGCUGCAAGCAUCGCAGAUGAGGCAAGAAGGACGCUGCUAUCAGCCAGACAGAUAUGGUGCCAAUAA
rnacentral:rRNA from 1 species